rnacentral:rRNA from 1 species
UACGGGGGGGGCAAGCGUUGUUCGGAAUUACUGGGCGUAAAGGGCGCGUAGGCGGUUUGCUAAGUUGGACGUGAAAACUCUGGGCUUAACCCAGAGCCUGCAUCCAAAACUGGCAAGCUAGAGUUUUGGAGGGGGAAGCGGAAUUCCUGGUGUAGCAGUGAAAUGCGUAGAUAUCAGGAGGAACACCGGUGGCGAAGGCGGUCCCCUGGGCCGGAACUGACGCUGAGGCGCGAAAGCGUGGGUAGCAAACGGG